rnacentral:misc_RNA from 1 species
AUUUCAACCCUUAAGCCCCUGUUGCUUAGUGUUGGGAGCCUACGGUCUGCGUAGCUCCCCAAAGUUAGUGGCAGAGUCGGUGCAAACUCUAGGCGUAGUAAUUCUUAUCUCGUCUUUGCAGUCUGCCCGGCCCUCGCCGUAAAACCCCCAAAUCUAUCAAGGUUGACCUCGGAUCAGGUAGGAAUACCCGCUGAACUUAA